rnacentral:sRNA from 1 species
CCCUCUCCCCCUAUGUCUGCCUCCAAUGAUUUCCUCACACCAUGUUCAUCCUCUUGAAGUUACCAAAAUUCCCAAAAUAGCACCCACUACCCAAGGACCAAGUCCCCAGCAUACGAGCCCUUUGGGGAGUAUUUUGUUAACGUUAUUUCACUUGUCUCUUUGGGAUGUUUUUGAGACCAAGCUGUAUGCUCUACUCAAAGCUAUAAAUUCCUCCCAGCUGUGUAGAAUCCCAGGUUGUAGGCUACUACAAAGGUGGUUCAAUGACUCCUUGUUUCUGUCCAUGGGGAAGAUCCACCCAACAGUCUCAAGACCAGAAAUGCACUUGGUAGCAUCACAGUAAAAACAUGCCCUAUGGACAUCUGCUGAUUCCUUCUCUACGUCUCAGACUGCUUUCUCUAAGCUUAUAUCAAGAACCUUACAGUGAGAAUUGUUUAUGGUUGGAAGUGUGAUUUUUCUUGUUCUUGCUGUAUUUGUCAGCAGGGGUCCCUUCAUCUUUCCUGAAAGUCUUUUUAUGCAACCUGUGUCAGGACAGGAAUUAGCAGCCUGACCUUGGUGCAUGCGUGGUUAUAUACAUGUUCGCUUGUACAAGUUUCCCUGACAACUUUUAAAGUUCAGGUUUCAAAGCUGCCGUUUUGUCAAACAUCCUGUGAGUCUUGAGAUGUAAAAGCCAUUAUCUGCUUACUGUCUAGAAGCACUCCCUGACGUCUGCUGUUCUGUUUCAGGAAUUCUGACAAGGGUGUAGAGGUCGCCUUCCUCGGCACUCGCACAGGCCUCUCAAGAAUCAACCUGUUUGUGGGGGCUGAACAGCUCACCAAUCAGGACUUUCUGAAGGCUAGAGACAAAGAGAACAUUUUCAACGCAGAUCAUUUCCCUCUCUGGUACAGAAGAGCUGCCGAGCAGAUUCCAGGAAGUUUUGUCUACUCCAUCCCCUUCAGCACAGGAACGGUCAACAAAAGCAAUGUGGUGACAGCAAGUACCUCCAUCCAACUCCUGGAUGAGCGAAAAUCUCCUGUGGUGGCAGCUGUAGGCAUUCAGAUGAAACUUGAAUUCUUCCAAAGGAAGUUCUGGACGGCCAGCAGACAGGUAAGCUCUAGCCAGACUCUUGAGGCAUUAGUGCCACUGUUAUUAGACAGGUGUCCCCAUAUGGGUAGCUGGGCAAACUGGUGCCAGAUUUCUGAUGAAUGUUUGUAAGAUGAAUUGCCAGAUCCUCAGAUUACCACUCAUUUCACUGCAAAACACAGACUGUCAGCAUGUUAGACACCACAUGCUGGGCAAAAGGAGAAGAUUUGCUCCUAGGAAUUAUUUGAAUUAUCGGAUCAAGAGAGUGACUUUACAAAAGGAAUUUCUCUCUUAUUAUCAGGGUCUUUUUUUUCUCACUGUGACUAUAAUUAUUGUGAUGUUCAGUUAUUUGUGCUUCUCCUCAUUUCAUUGGAGAAGGCCAUCAUAUGACCUGCUUGGUCAAGGCAUAUAUCUACCUUUCAAGCCAAAGGACAUCAAGGGGCUAUUGUACUUGGAAAAUCUAGGGCAGUCCUCUCUGUUGCUAUGCUCUGUGAACUAAGAUGUGUCAGGGACAUCUCUCUAGUAUUCAGCAGAAAUAGUAGCCAUUGAGUUCCUUCCACCUGCCUAGUUCUAAACAUUAGAUGUGUAAGUGAGAUCAGCCCACAAUAGGCAAACCAGCACUUACAUGUUUAAUGUGCCCAUGUCAUAAUACAGGAUCAACUUAGAGGCUCUUCCGAGGGUAGAUGCAUAAGGAGCUUAGCAUUUCUUAAAUCAUGAUAUGAUAGGAAACUAUACUCUAAGAACAUAAACAAGGGUUUCCUUUUAAAGUCAUUGAGAAAUCGUUUUAAAUUAAAUAAUGACAUAAUUAUAUCUUUUGUUACCAGGAGAUCUGAGAUCUUUAACAGAUACCAUCAGUGUUGAAUGACAACAUAAGUUAAGAGGGAUGGGAAAGAACCAGCCCUCACCACACUGUGUCUUUGAUAGUAUGA